rnacentral:lncRNA from 1 species
CUGGGUUCCCAAAAGCUGUUUUGAAAAUCUUCAGGUGAAUGUCCUCAUGACACCACCACUGAAGAAUCUGAACCUCAGAUCAAAUUCCUCAGGAGGGCCGAAGUCUUCAAGAGGAUCAAAAUCCUCAACUGGUCAAAACUAUGCUCGUACCCAUGCUAAUGCGUCUAACAUGCAUGGAAACUACAAGGACUAUGAAUAUGAGCGUUACUCC